rnacentral:rRNA from 1 species
CCUACGGGAGGCAGCAGUAAGGAAUAUUGGACAAUGGGCGCAAGCCUGAUCCAGCCAUGCCGCGUGGGUGAAGAAGGCCUUCGGGUUGUAAAGCCCUUUUGUCCGGAAAGAAAAGCACGGGAUUAAUACCCUCGUGUGAUGACGGUACCGGAAGAAUAAGCACCGGCUAACUUCGUGCCAGCAGCCGCGGUAAUACGAAGGGUGCAAGCGUUACUCGGAAUUACUGGGCGUAAAGCGUGCGUAGGUGGUGCGUUAAGUCUGUCGUGAAAUCCCCGGGCUCAACCUGGGAAUGGCGAUGGAUACUGGCGCGCUAGAGUGAGGUAGAGGAGAGUGGAAUUCCCGGUGUAGCAGUGAAAUGCGUAGAGAUCGGGAGGAACAUCAGUUGCGAAGGCGGCUCUCUGGACCAUCACUGACACUGAGGCACGAAAGCGUGGGGAGCAAACAGGAUUAGAUACCCUGGUAGUCCACGCCCUAAACGAUGCGAACUGGACGUUGGGCUCAAUUGAGAGCUCAGUGUCGAAGCUAACGCGUUAAGUUCGCCGCCUGGGGAGUACGGUCGCAAGACUGAAACUCAAAGGAAUUGACGG